GUUUGGAUAGCGGAUAGGGAACUUAUGAAAGGUGUGCUAACCUCUAAAAGUGUGGGCUGAUUGAUGAUGCUUUGAUAAAAAAAAAAGGUUAAAGACUCGAGGAGGACGGAAGAGCAUUUGAGGACUCUGAUUAGUUGGUUUUUUUGCUGUUAAAUUCUGCUGUGUGGGAAUGUUGUUGUUGUUGUUGUUACUUGAUGGAUGACUGUAUUAAUUUAAGAAACUUGGAUUACUGUUGGACUAUGAUUUUAUUGCUGUUUUAAUACAUUUAUGACCAGCAAGUAUUUUAAAAACGAAUUUAGAAACAUUUUGCAAGAAAAUGAUUUCUGACGUUUUAUUAAGUGCUGAAUUUUAAACAGAUUGACAAGCACCUUGCGAGUUAUGUUUCGAGGGGCUAACGACCUCCAAUUAUCUUAUAAUUUAUAUGCACGCGAAGCCCCAUGUGUCUAGUUUCUGAUUAUAACAGUUUUACAGUGAAAUUCUGAAAACUUGAUUUUAUACGAAUUUCUCAAGGAAGCAAGGUCUGUCAGCAAAAUAAUAUUUUCAGCAAACUACGAAAAUUUCAAUUGUCACUCUGAUUUUAGUAAGUAACCCGAUUUCAAUUAUAAGCUUUAAUUGGCCACAUCGAAAAUGUU